GUGCUCACUUCAGCAGCACAUACACUAAAAUUGGAAUGAUACAGAGAAGACAAGCGUGGCUUUUGUGCAAGGAUGACACGCAGACUCAUGAAGCAUUUCAUACAAAA